rnacentral:rRNA from 1 species
GUCAUGAUUUGUUAGUGGUCAGACUUUGACUUGUACAGUAUCGUAAUAAUAUGUCAAUGUUUAGACUUGGUUAUCGUUCAAAGUUCGUGAUCGGUUUAUACUUAUAAUGUAUACUAGAGUUCAGAUGUCUUUAAAUCUCUUACUUCCCCUCAUCGUCGUUAAAUACCAAGUCUAAUCCUCGUCUCGUCCCCCGGUUCCUUCUUCGUCGUCGCAAAUCCUCUACCUCGUCGUAGCACUCCAAGUCUCUUCCUCGUUGUCAUCCCCUUUCUUUUCUUCUCGUCGUCAUCACUGUACCCUCUUCUUCGUCGUCUCGCGUCAUCGUUGGCAUCCAAGUCUAUUCCUCAUUGUCGUACCAAACCCGUUCUUCUUGUUGUUUCCGCACAAUCCGUCUCUCGUCGUCGUACCACUCCUCGUCGUCCCCCGCGUCCUCUUAUCCUCGUCGAUCCGUUCCCCGCGUCCCAUGUCGUCGUCUCUCCUCUCUGAGCGCGCCUCGUGAUCUGUUGGUGCUGGAGAUCAGACCAGCCCGUGCGCUCCACUACCACUGACCUACACUACCGCUACCACCUACCUACGCAAUGCCAUACCGCCCACCUCCACGACGCCGUAACCCCUCGCCCACCUCCACGACCCACCGCGACCACCUACCGACCCAACGCGUGGCGGUGCGGCCGGAUCGGCGCCGCCACCGGCCUCCACCUUCUUCCUCCCCACUCCCUCUCUCUACACACGGUCCGGGCUAGGUUUUUUAACCAACGCGAUCCCUAAAACAAGGGGAAGAGAGUCGACGGUGACAACGUGAAACCGGGAGGAGUAGAGUUGAAAGAUGCGUUCUUCUAGGUAAGAAGUAAAUCAACCGCGGGGACCUAUGAAGAAGGAAGGAUCAACCCAGGGAGAAGAGAAGAACGGGUUUCAGAACAAGGAG